rnacentral:misc_RNA from 1 species
AAGUCUCCAGGUCUCUCGUCGAAA